AUGUUGGAUCAAAACCCAUAUGUUUUCCUGAGUUGGGAUGGUCUUCUAAAAAUGGGCGACCAAAUCUACAAGCAAGCCACUGUUGGUAUGCUUCCACUUCAUUUAUCAUUAUUAUUAGUAUUGUUAUUGUUGUUUUUAGUAAAAUUGCUGACAUGAGAUUAGUUUAACGUAGGUUGACAUACAUUUUUCUGUAAUCACAAUCCUUAACAUAGUGAAUAAAUUAAAUGUUUUCUUUUGUCAGUCUAGUUGAUAUAUUAGUUAUAUCAAAAGAUUUGAACUAUGGAUCGGGCUAUGUUCAAAUGAGCACAUGCUGCAAGGGCAUAUGUGAUUCUUAAUUGUGAAAUAUGGAUUUAGAAGAAAUAUUAAUGUCCAAAGUUUUCGAUGUUGAAAGCCUUUCUUCAAGCGUUCAAAGCACUCUGAACAAGAAAUAUCGAUGGUGUUGACUAUGCAGAAACCAACCUAAACUCUAUCAAACAAUUCCACACCAAGGUCAUGAAUCAUGAAUCAUGAAUGUUGGAAUUGAAUCACUUAGUUACUUUGUGAAUUAGGUAUUUAUUUAGUUCUUUAACUAAUUUAUUGUUAGAGUUGGAUAAUAAUAUUUCUUUUUAUUUUUUGUUAGGUGAUUGAUGUGUGGAGAAAACAUUGGAGCAAUACACAUAUGUGGGAUAAUUCUGAUAUUGCUACAAUUUAAACAUCCUUUUUUAUCCUAUCAAAAUUUUGGGAUUAUAUAUAUGAAGUCAUUUUAUUUGAAUUAAGAAUUUACUUGUUCGAGUAGCUAAGGACUUUGUUGGAUGUAUAUAAUGCUUUUUUUAUAUGUUAUAAAUUUGAGAUUUUGGUUGUAGUUAUGAUCGUAGAUUUGGAUGAAUGUGAACUAUACCUUCUUUGUACGGAAAAUUACAGCUUGAUCUAUAAAUAUCUAUAUGAUAAUAA